rnacentral:rRNA from 1 species
CAAUAGCGUAUAUUAAAGUUGUUGCAGUUAAAAAGCUCGUAGUCGGACUUCUGACGCAUGUGCCGCCGUCUGCCGCAAGGUGUGCACGGUGGCUGCAUCGCCAUCCUCCUGAGACGCCGUGCUGCCCUUAAUUGGGUGGCGCGUGCUGCUCAGGAUCUUUACUUUGAAAAAAUUAGAGUGUUCAAAGCAGGCCAAUGCGCUUGAAUACAUUAGCAUGGAAUAAUGGAAUAGGACUUUGGUUCUAUUUUGUUGGUUUCUAGGACCGAAGUAAUGAUUAAUAGGGACAGUUGGGGGCAUUCGUAUUUAGUUGUCAGAGGUGAAAUUCUUGGAUUUACGAAAGACGAACAUCUGCGAAAGCAUUUGCCAAGGAUGUUUUCAUUGA